rnacentral:rRNA from 1 species
UACAUGGGGUGCAAACGUUGCUCGGAAUUAUUGGGCGUAAAGCGCGCGUAGGCGGUUACUCAAGUCGGAUGUGAAAGCCCUCGGCUUAACUGAGGAAGUGCACCCGAAACUGAGUAGCUAGAGUACUAAAGAGGGUCGCGGAAUUCCCGGUGUAGAGGUGAAAUUCGUAGAUAUCGGGAGGAACACCGGUGGCGAAGGCGGCCCCCUGGUUGGAUACUGACGCUGAGACGCGAAAGCGUGGGGAGCAAACAGG